CGGGAGGUCAUCCUCUGGGACGUCGAUGUUUGAACCCGGCCAUGCAGUCUCGUCUCCUGAGAGCCAGGAUUCUCUCGUCCAGCGACGUGUCUCCAUUGAGCGUCUGGAAGCAGGGUCUGGAUCUGAGAUACUCGGUUGGCGACGAAGGUUUUCCAACGGGUGCUGUGUCCGCGGAUCCAAUGAAGUGUGACCCUUGAAUCUGACCACAGAUGCACCGGCGUCGUUGUCAAACCGAGAGUAGCGCGCACGUGGAGCAUGAGCGUGCGUUGCGGAUGUACACCACGGCGGCGUAUCCUCGCUCU